UGCAACGCAUAGGGGCGCUGUACUAGAGGGGCCACAGAAAUGAUGUGGGCAAAUUUUUUCAACUGUUUGUGCAUGUAUGGAAUGAUCUCCUUCACCUCCCCUCCUCUCGCUCUCUCCUACCUCACAAGCCACUUCGGCAGGCGGUCCCUCCGGAACACACUGAGUUAAAUUUGAAUGUAGUAGUGGACUCGUCAACAGUGAGGUAAAGAUUGAGUGGCAGGAAAAAACUCUGUGGGGUACAAAACAGAAAAUGGGAGAGGGAUAAAGAUGUUGGAGGGAUGAAGAAAAGCUUUUCAAGCUGUGAGGAUGGAGAGAAAGAAGAUAAGAUGACAGAGGAAGAAUCGGGACAGACAGCAGGAGGCAGCGAUCGGUCUAAUGCAGGAGUUCAGGAGAGGACUUGGAGCCGGCAGCCUGUAACAGUUGUUUUCUGAUGUUGUUCUCGUCAGAAUAAAUCGAAAAAUCAUCUUUUUAAAGACAAGCCGUGUCACGGCCUGAUCACUUAAAACCAGCACAACGCAGAAAGGAUCCGCUUACAGAUGCAUCUCAACAGAUCAGAACCGGCUCUGGGCCUGGUAGCGAACCGAUCACCUGAUCCAGGUGUUGGAGCAGUGAAGAGUGCAGUGAUUUGCUUUUGGCCUUGGAGAACUUGAAGCUUAAAGCUUCCUGGUGUUUUUCUUCUCUGGUGACUGAAAUUUUACCUAAAUUGUCAAAUAAAUCAUCUUUUGCAACUGGCAUCAACUGUUUAGUGAUUCUUACUGUCUUUGUGUUGCACCCGGUGCAGAAUUUACCCUCAGUUGUGGAUGGAUUAUAAAAUAAGUAGCAGCAGAUAGUUCAUUCAUUCAUUGGUUCACUGAUUCAUUAAACUUGAUCAGUUUUCUUCCAGAGAACAUUCCAGAACUCUGAGGUUCUGUUCUGAUCCAUUCGAGCCAAAACAGGAACCUCAGGUCAUCACAAUAAAACACUUCCUGUCUCCUUCACAGUAAGAGCUCAGCGGACGGUUUGGACAUGAGGACAGCAGGAUAUUUUUAGCAGAGACGUCCCAGCUGUCCCCGUCUCAGGUUCAACUUCUCGGAACCAGAAAAGGACGACGGGACCGUCAGAGGUUCUGGUUGAUCGACCUGCAAUUAAACUGUUCUGACCCGGUUCAGCUGGAACUGGACCUCCUGUUUACAGCUGUUGCCAUCAGAACCUGCAACCCAACAAAACCACAGACAGAACCAGAACCACCGAGUUCUGGGUGAGCUGGAAGUGGGGCAGAAGCUGCUGAGCUGAACCGGGUUGACCGGGUUCUUCAGAACCGACAUGUGCUGCACAUCCACCCUCUCCCCUUUCUGCUGACCCGACCCCCAGAACCAGAACCGCCCCAGUCAGCGUCUGAUUGGCGGACUGUUUGGGUCUCUGAGUCAGCGGCUCGGGUUUCCUGCAGACCAGAACCAGGGCAAAGGUCGCACACAGCAGCAGAGGGAUCGGACUGGGUCCAGGUUCUGGUUCUGUCUGAAAGCAGUAGGACGGUUCCAGUCUUUGGAACCAGAACCAAAUGGGCCGAGAAAUGUCCAGAACUUCAGGAAACAGUCAGAACCAGCUGGAAAUCCUGUACUGGUACCGACCCAGUCU